GCCUGGCUGCUGCAGGCCUGGCGUCAGCGCUGGGAAUCCUCCCUGCAUUUUGAGGCCACUGAGUUACCCUUCAGGCCCUGGACCACCAUGGAGGAAGGCAUCCAGCUGGUGCGUCAGCUGGGCAUGACUGAGUGGAUCUACCUUGACCCAGAAGGGCUGGUGGACCUGGCCCCAGAGGAUGUGGCCUUCACUCAAGGCCUGCAGCAGCGCCUGCUCACAGCAGCACCCUCUGAGCUGUGGCUUUCACUGGUCAGCCUGUGGCAUGACAGUAUUGGAGGCUGUGAUGGAGAUCCAGACCAUUGCUGAUGUGGGUCUGCUCUGGCGCCAGAGCCAUCCAGGCCGCACCAAGCUCAUGUUGGGGCCCAACCCAACUCGUAAGGACCUCCUAGGCUGGCUGCUCAGCCACGGUGUACCCCGGGAGCAAGUAGACAGACAGUCCAUCAAGGUACUCCUAGAACUCUACAUCAAAGAAGCCAAGCACAGUCGCGGCCACCCCAACUAUGGGCUGAACGAGGAGCAGCCCCCACCACCCCCUUAAUCCGACCAGGCCUGUGGGGAAGAGCAAACAGUGUGUCAUGAU
rnacentral:lncRNA from 1 species